rnacentral:rRNA from 1 species
CCUACGGGUGGCUGCAGUGGGGAAUAUUGGGCAAUGGGCGCAAGCCUGACCCAGCAACGCCGCGUGAAGGAAGAAGGCUUUCGGGUUGUAAACUUCUUUUCUCAGGGACGAAGCAAGUGACGGUGACUGAGGAAUAAGCCACGGCUAACUACGUGCCAGCAGCCGCGGUAAUACGUAUGUGGCAAGCGUUAUCCGGAUUUACUGUGUGUAAAGGGCGUGUAGGCGGGACUGCAAGGCAGAUUUGAAAACAAUGGGCUCAACCUAUGGCCUGCAUUUGAAACUGUAGUUCGUGAGUACUGGAGAGGCAGACGGAAGUCCUAGGGUAGCGGGGAAAUGCGUAGAUAUUAGGAGGAACACCAGUGGCGAAGGCGGUCUGCUGGACAGCAACUGACGCUGAGGCGCGAAAGCGUGGGGAGCAAACAGGAUUAGAUACCCUUGUAGUC